CCAGUUCUGGUUUAUGGAACGUAUUCCAUAAUUUGCUUGUUAUAAAAAGGUCUUGCCUUUUCACAACACCUUCAGCUAUCUUGGCUUUAAGGGCAACACCGACUUCCUUCUCGUUUCCAUAUACAUGAGCACAAUCAAUAUGACGAUAUCCCAAGUCAAUAGCAUCCUUAACAGCUUGUGUAACCUCGCCAGGUUUAGACUGUGAAAAUAUGAAUUAAUACUGAUUAUCUCCAGCUGUAAUCAUAUUAUAUAAUUUAUUCUAUAUAUCAUAUCAUUUUUAUCACUUUUUACACUGUUUAUCUCUUAUUUUUCACUUUUAUCAAUCUGAAGUUUAGAUGGUAAACUGAUCAGUAAGAAAUCAUUGACACUUAUAUGGAAUCAGAAUAAAAAAUAUUGUUGAUUAUUAAUUUAACAGGUGUUAAGUGUAUAAAUUUUAACAUUUAAAACGUUAGUAUAUCAUAUGGAUACAAAGGCUACCAAAACAAAUGAUAAAGGAAAGGCUGUGACACUGAAGUGACCUUGCCUAAGAAAUGAUUAGAGGAAGUUUAGAUUCUGUUAUCAAAUGCUGGCAAAUCCAAGAACAAAUUAAAAAUCACAUUGCGGCUUUAGGUACAAAAAUACUUGAUUGUAACCCGGUAUUAAAAAUGCCAAAUUAUAAACGAAAUGAAUUCAUUGAUCCAACUGUUAUAAUUAAAGGAACAUGUAUGCAGAUUGCACAAGCUUAUAUCCUUUUCAAUUUUGUUCACACAAAGGUAAAAAAAGGAAUAUUUACUACAAUCAUUCACUUACUUUCCAGGUGCCCAGACCGAAAGCCGGCACCUCGUUGCCGUUGUAGAACUUCAUCAUUGGUACGUUUAGGGUCAUUUUGACAAUAUGUAAAAUUUUGUUACUGGAAACACAGGAAUAUUUAUACACAACCGUGACACUUCACGAUUUUCGACACACCGACAAUUGCUAGAUCUCGGAGUAUAAUGCCAACAGAUUCACCUAGAGUGUCCCUUUUAUAAAUGUCCCAUCCGGGAACAUAAUCCCUGCUCCUGCCCCUCGAAUCUCAGGCCCGUAUAUCAAAGAAUGAAACGAGAUCUCCCAAAAUUCGUUUAUCAUCACGCGUACAUGAACGCAAAUGAACGCUCUGAAAAAUAGCAAACUUCGUUCAUUAGCAACAGCAUUCAUAGCCCAACAAAUCAUCUUGAGUAAUUCUAUAAUCUAAUAACUUUCUCUAAAGUUAUUAUACUUAUGUAAAUCGUGAAGCUUCUUCGUUUUUAUAAUAGGCUUCUCUGAUAGCUAAUCCAUUGCUUAUUGUUGGAACAGAAGUUUCUCAUUUUUGAUAAAAAUUUGCACUAAUUCAAUCAUUCAAAAGUUAUCUUCCUUGCUUUUAAUUUAAAUUAAUAAUAUCUUGAAUAUUUAUAUACGCUAUCAUUGGUUUACCGAAGAUAACGUUAUCGAGAGUGAUGAACGACGAUGUCAAAGAUGGAAACAUUUUCAAGGAAGUUUUUGUGAUGACACAAUUAAAUAAUGUUCAAAUCUUUUAGCUACACAUAUUGCAAAUUCAUUGAAAAAUGUUCGCGAAUAAAUAGGCCCUUUAACCUAGCAAGAAGGGUACGGCCCUGGAAUUAUUUUGCGUCUGCGCGAAUACAAAGAUAGUGUUUUCGUGAUGUGCGAUCUUGCAUAAGAACUUCUAUGCUUCUAAUACAACUAUAUUUCUGUGUAGCGGACUCAAGUAAAUUCGCUGCAGAAAGAAACAAGCCCUAUGGAAAGUUACAGAGUUCGUUAGUAGGCAAGGGACUCCCGAAUCCCUUGAUUGUUGACGAUGAAUGGACCACUAUAUGGGCCGAGAAUAACAAUGCUUCCUCCGUCGCGGAAUGGAACAGGAGGCGAAAGGAAUCUAGGAUCUACCAGAUCAAAAAAAGAUUGACAACAUUUAUUAUGAAAGUAUAUUUCGUUUAAUUAUCUAUCUAGGAUUAUCAGAAGUUGACAAAGUUAGACGAGAGUGCGCGUAAUAGUGACCUUCUGUUUUGCUUCACUCCGUUAAUUGUGUUUCCGCUACCGCGUUUCAGUCAAUUGCGGAACGUGAUAUUACGACCGGUUCGAAGAAUGCAAGUUUCCGUACAUAGCUUCCAUUGCGCAUUACAAUAUCGAUUGGUUCUUCGUCCUCGCUUAAUUAAGCAACGCUAAACGGGUACGUACGAAGUUGUUCCUUGCGUUCCUAAUAUGCAUUAUGUGGAACUCAUUAAGUUAUACUAAAUUUGAUAGACCGUCGAAACAAAUUUUUGUCAAUUACAUGAACGAACAAUUAGCAUAAAUGAACUGGGCACUUUUUUUGUAAAGUUUCCAAAUUCUUUGUAUUUUUUGGUGGUAUCGUUUAGUUUGCUAAAUAUACUUUCGCAAAGAGUGUUUAAAUUCACAAUGAACUUUGAAAGUACUUCAUAUAUAUAUUUUAUUACUGUACACUGUACUAUCGAUUCGGUACCAAGAAAUAUUCUAUUUGUUCUGAAAAAAUACUCUCGAUCGAUGGCAGUUUCUACCGCAUUGUGUACGAUCGAUGUAAUUUAUGGCAAUUUGGUACAGCACGUUUAUGUGUCAAACGCGUUACGUUCAGCUUGGGUAGCAUUCAAAACAUGGCAUCAAAAUUUUCCAUGGCACUCAAUAAACUUAAUUGAUUAGAUGAGGGUCAAACGGGUGCCGAAUUACAGCGUGAGAUUAUAUAAGUUCAAAGUGGACAUGCUCCACCAUUAAUUUUGUGCUGGUUCUGACAGGCAGUUUCCUGCUGGAACAGCGGAUCUUUGGUAUAGAUCGGUUACUUCUCAAAAGGAUAGUACUUAUGGGCCUUGGCACUGAAAAACAAUGUGAAAAUGUCAAACAGUGUCCAUACAAAAUUCACAUACAUCAGAUACUUACUCAGCAAAACGCGCCACGCGUUGCCCAUUCCCUAUGAUCGCGAUGGCGGCUAUUUCCUCGUCCGUUAAAGAAAAAUCGAAAAUAUCCAUAUUCUCCUUUAGGCGACUGGGUGUCACCGUUUUCGGAAUAAUCGCGACACCUUGUUGCAUCUGGAACGAUUAAUUAAUUAUGUUUAGAGCCGCGGGACAAAACAGGAAACCCAAUUCAUACAUCAAUAACCUGAUUUUGAUUCUUGAACAUAAUCACUUUAUGGUUUCGAUCGACCAAACUAGCUGCUUAUCUUUCCACAAUUUUACGAUACUACAAGUGUUAUCACUCAUGUUCAACCAAAGUGUUUCAUGUAAUCAAGUGAACCGAUUGCCCAGUGUUUGGAGCAAGGUCAUUCCUAAAUAUACCUACCAAUCCAAGAGGGAACACUUUACAUAAUUACUCACCACGUAUCGUAGUGCGAUUUGCGCUACCGUUUUGUUGUACUUCUGCGAGAGCUCCACUAUCUUUGGGUGGUCCAAAUUGUUUGGAAUUCCAGCUUUAUUUCCAGGCUGACCUAAUGGCGAAUAUGCGGUCACCGUAAUGUUAUUUUUCGUACAGAACUCGAUCAACGGUUUUUGAUUCACGUUUACGUUGGCUUCAACCUACAGUUAUCCUACAUUAUUAUCGAACACAAAAAAAUCAUUUUAAAUCAAGCAACCGAUAAAUUACCUGGUUGUUCACAGGCUUUACUUUAGUUGCGCCAAGCAAUCGAGUUAGUUGUUCGAUGUUGAAAUUGCUAACACCUAUGCUUUUCGUGAGCCCUAAGUUCAGGCAUUCUUCCAUUCCCUUCCAGGUUUCUAAGUAAUCGGUGUCUGACAUUAUAAGAACACCAUUUGUGUCGCGGGGCAUUAAAUCGUCGCCGUCCUGAUGAAUAAUUACCAUUGGUCACUUGCAUGCAUAAGUAAUUGAAAUAAAAUUAACUGCUAAGGCUUACACGGAAUGCAAAUGGCCAGUGAACUAAAUAUAGAUCGACAUAACUCAAUCCAAGGUACUCCAAAGAUUGUUUACAUGCUGGUACCACGCUUUCUUGCUUAUGAAAGUUGUUCCAAAUCUGUAAAUAUCAGUUUAUUCAUUAUAUGACGUAUCAACAAAGUAUAUUUAAUAUGAACUUAUGUAAGUAUUAUUAAUAAAAAGUGAACAUUGCACAAGUACACACAGUAAAAGUACGAAUAAUAAUAUUACCUUGGUUGUGAUGAACAAAUCCUCUCGCUUCACAGUGCCGUCUUUAAUUUUCGUUUGAAUCGCGUUGCCAAUUUCAUGUUCAUUUUGGUAGAAAAAUGCAGUGUCAAUAUGCCGGUAACCUAUCGAUAUCGCCUCUAUUACGGCUCUUUCCACAUCCCCGGCAUGAGACUAACAGAUAUGUAAAUCGUUUAAUUGCAGAAUACGAGAUAUCACGUGACAUAAGAUCGUGUUGUAUAUGAUUGAUUGUACUGUUGUAUGUGACAUCACAUACUGGCAUUAAAACCAAUUUUCGGAAUAGCGGUUACGUUAUGACAUAAUGGAAACAAAUACCGGUAUAACACCAAAAUCUUAAAAUAUUUCAGUCUCUGGUUCUAUGUACAUGUGUAUGGAUGUUUGAAUAUUUUCGUACCUGAUACGUGCCCAAACCAAGAACUGGCAUUUUCUGACCAUUGUGAAACGUGAGAUUGGAUAUUUGCGCCAUUACCGAGAAAAAUGAUUAAGGAUUCACAGCAGUCAGAAGAGUUACGCUUUACACACUCACACCACGGGUUUACACCGCGCAAUGACUAACUCAUCCACUUCGUUCCCAGCUUAGACUAGAAUUAUAUAAUAUGUACAUAGACAGAAUAUUGCGUAUAACGUUGUUUAACCAUGAUUAGACAAACCAAUGUUACACAAUACUAUCUUAUCGCUACGAACGUUAUUAGAAAUCAUAUAUUAAUACAGUUGCGGAUGCAUAAAUAAAUAACAUGAACUACA